UUCACCUUCGGAGUCCGAGAUCGUUUCCUCAAUUUUAUUUUUUUGAUUGUUGCUAACUGAUCGAAAUGAAAUCACCACAGUGUGGUAUCCCCACACCCCUGUGCGAAUGGUAUCAAAAACAGUACAGAUAAUUGGUGCCGGCAGGAGGUAGAGAAAGCUUUACCCACCGUUGGUGGGAGUGCAAACUCCUGCAGCUGUGCGAAAUUUCCUGAAAAUAAAGUCAGAAGCACCGCGUGGGGAUUCAGCAGUCUCACUGCAGGCUGUGUGUCCAGGGGAGGUAGCGCCAGAUGCCUGCACGCCGAGUUCCUUGCAGCCCUAUAAUGGGAGCAAGUGUCCAGCAGUGACGAGCUGAGGAGGGUCUGAUGGACCUGUCUACACGGCGGGCGAGCCUUCUGCCCUGAAGGACAAAGGCAUUCUGCCAGGAGCGACAAGAUGGCUAGAACGUGAAGUUUUUAUGGCGAGUGCAAUAAGCCAGGCUCAGAGAGACAAAUGUGCAAUCUAAAAAAGUUGAGCUCCAAGAAGUCGAGAGUGUGAUGGUGGCUACGGUGAGCCCGGGGCCUGGGGGAGUGAGUUAGAGAACAGUAGGAAGGAUUGACGAUGAGUACUAAUUUACUGCUAGGAGCAGAAAGUUCUGGUGUGCUGUUGCACAUUAAGACUGUAGAUAAUGUAUAUUUCACAAAGUUAAAGCAAAGGAUUUUGGACAUUUUCUCCGUAAUGAAGUGUUUACUGAAGAGUUUGAUAUAUUCAACCUGAUUUAAGCAUCACACAAUGUAUCAUGCAUUGACAUAUGGUACCCCAUUAAUAUAUAUUAUUUUUAUGGAUGUAUAUUCAACCUGAUUUAAGCAUCACACAAUGUAUCAUGCAUUGACAUAUGGUACCCCAUUAAUAUAUGUUAUUUUUAUGGAUGUAUGUGUCCAUUAAAAAUAAAGUCUAAAAAUUGAUUUUUGUAUAUUGACCAUGCGUCUUAUGGCCUUUUAAACUUACAUCGUAAAUUGUAGUAGGUUUGUUUUAUUUUUUAACUUGCAAGUAAAACUUACUUCUUCCUUUCCAAUCUAUUUGUCUUUAUUAAUAUUUUUCUGUUAUUGGCUAGACUCCUCCAAUACAAUGUUGAAUGUAAAUGAUCAGAAUGACAUCUUUGUUUUGCUCAUAAUAGAGGGAAAGCAUUCAGUCUUCCAUAUUCUGUGUAGUAUUAAUUACUAUUUUUUCAGAGAUGCUCCUUAGUAGAUCAAGGAAGUUUGUUGAGAGUUUGCUUUUCCUGCAUCAAGGUUGUUGGGCGCAGGUGCUCAACAUACCAUACCCCACCCGGGACUAAGGACCACGCCAGCUUCCGCAAUGCGCUACGUCCCUCUCCAAAUUAGUCACCCUGUACUCACUUCAUAUUCACCACAGCUGAGUAUAUUAGCCAGAGCCCGUGUCUCAUUCCAGCCCUUCCUUCUCGUGGCAGCCCUCGUGGCAGCCUGAUUGGCUACAGUCAGAUAUAUAAGCCAGAACCCACAACAAUAAAGUUGGCAGUUCCUGUUACCCACCUGAAGUGUUUACUGUCUCAUUGGGGAGCUGCACCGGUCAAAGAUAAACAAGCAUGAAGACUUUGGAGAUACAGAAGCCUGGUGCGGUUUCUCCUUGGGCAGAAGGGAGUUGGCCAAGAAAUAGCAAACGGUGCCUCGUUGUUGGUUCCUGCUGCCCAAAGGACUUCCACUGAAGCUCACCGCUGACGGGGAAAUCAAGACUGUCUGGCCCUCUGCACCUGGCUGCCUCGAGAAUCCCAGAGUCUGCUCAGGACAACACAGAGCCUUAAUAUUGGAAUUACAGUUAUUGAAAGUCUGAAAAAGAGUCACAGAAGCUUGAAAAAAAAACACGCAUUACAAAAGGAGCCAUUGUUGAAAUGUGAAUCUUUGUGUAAGCCAAAAUCGCCAGUGAGAAGCAUUCUCUAUUUCAAUCAAACAAUCGGUCCUUGUGCAGGAGACAAUGCUGGCUACUCAGGCCGGGAAGCUUGGUCCCCAUGGCAAUGGCAAUGGCAAUGGCAAUGCUUUCUCCUGCUGUACUCUGCUGCCCCACACAGCAGCAGUGUCUGGAGGAGCCAGGGCCCCACCUCGCCCAGGACCUUGGCCCCUGAACAGCUGCCAUGAGCCAGGGAAACAGACCUGGCCCAGACGCCAGCUCUUCCUUCAGUCACCAUGAGCCUGGACUCUCCCCGGAAGUCGUGCUGAUGAGAUAUAAGAAUGAAGGAGGAGAAAGAUAAAAAUAAGACAUGGCUGAAAUUCUUCAGAUGAGUCCUCUCCUCUUAGGGAGUGUGGAAAUGGGUGUUCCUAACACCUCUUGCUCAUGAGGAAAAUUCGUGAAUCAGACUGUGUUUAAAUCUUCCCCCUCAGCAGCUGGCGGCUCUUAAGGAAAUUUGUUUACCUCUCCGAGUUUCAUUUCCUUCAUCUGAAAAAUGGGAUUAAUAACACAUCUCAGAGAACUGCUGGAAGAAUUAAGUCACUUGGAUAUAAAAAUGUGCUCAAUAAAAACAAGCAUUAUUCUUUUAUCACGUAAAGAAUUGCCUUCAGAGCCUAUGAGUAUCUUCAGAGAUUCUGAGUUUCAUUUUUCAAGAGAAAAUUUGAUUUCUGCAACAGCUGAUGUGAUGUGAUUGUGGAGCUAGAGAAUAAUGUGUGUAAUAAAUGCUUUAUCUUACUUCUUGGAAAGGAAUGAUCUGUCUUAAGCACUAAGGCUUGAUUCUACAAAUAACUUGUAAACUGACCUUGACUCAUUGGAUCUAUUUCCAAACCAUAUCCAGAAUCCAAUCACUUCUCACUCUCCCUUGCUGACCCCUGUUCCAAUCAAAGCCAUCACUUUCUUUUUCCUGGAUUGUUGUAAAUGACUCUGGCUUUCCUGGUCUCACUAUGCCCUACAAAUAUUUUGAGCAAUGGCUGCGUCAUUGGAAUAAAUGCAUCAUCUCCCCCAGAGGCA